CCAGGUACCUACACAGUACAAGCUCACUGGGCCAAUUCCACCUGAAUUGGGGAACAUGUCCAAGCUAAGCUAUCUAUGAGGUCAAUUGAACAACAAUGAACUGGUUGGUAGCAUUCCGGCCGAGCUUGGACAGCUGGAGUUGUUUGAAUUGUGCAUGGCAAAGAUCGAAUGGUUCCAUUCCAUCUGAAUUCCUGAAGCUAGAGAGUAACAUAUUUAAACUUCUCAUCGAACAAUUUCAAAGGGUGGAUCCCUGUUGAGUUAGGGCGCAUAAUCAAUCUUGAUACUCUGCCUUUGCUCAACUAUUGCAAGCUCCUCAUGAUUAUGCUGAAAUUAUUAUAACAGAUCGUUUCCCUAUCCCCAUAUUGGUAAUUUGUGAUCAGCAUGGUUCCCAGUUCCUGCAAAAAGGCCAAUUGCUGUCAAGGAUGAGAUAGAUUGCAUGCCCUAUCCAACUACAGGUGAUCUCCUUUUUGCUCUGAUUUUAGCAGCCAUUUUAA